rnacentral:lncRNA from 1 species
GAAAUAAUCUUAGUGAAUUUCUCUCCAAAAGUGGUUCUAAAACUAAUAAAUGUGGAUGGUACAGCAGUAUUUCAGGUAAUUCACUUUUGUACACAUCAUUACUUUUUCUUUUUGUAAGUAACAGGCAAAAUUACCUUCAAAAAAAUUAAUCUGGAAUUCUUUGAAAAGUGGAUCAAUGUCCAAAACAGGUCAAAAGUUUAAAAUAAAUGUGAACAACUUUUUGGGGUAAUGCUUGGGGCUCUUGUAGGACAAAUAGCAUUGUGGUUGACCCAUGAAUCACCAUUAUUAAAAAUAAAAAAUAAAAAACAGAAAUAUCAAUGAGUGCAACCCACCCCCCCCUCAUUAUCUUCCUCCAAUUAAUUGCAUGCAUUAGAAACACGUGUGUUUUUUUUUUUUUUUUUUUUUUUUUUUUUGGGGGUGGAUAGUAUAUACAAACUUCAUAUGUCAUACUCAAGACACAUUGACCAUGAGUGGGAAAAAAUAAUAAAGUAUAAAAAUAAAACACAACACAUCCAUGGUCAACUGCUACUACUACUACUAUGCAUGAGUAUGUGUGGGUGUAAAGGUGAAAGCCAAUUGUCCCCCCCCCCCGUUGGUAAUGUAGCAGUAGUGGUCAUAGUCAUGGUCACUGUCAUGGUCAUUCUCUCUCUCUCUCGCUAAAACCCAGUCUUCCUUUUUGGUUCCAUGUACAGAAGACAACACAACACAUACAGUAAGUAAGUACUAAAGGGCAACAUCAAGGAGGAGGUGGAGGUGGUGGUGGGGGGUAUAUAAGCAACAUGAAGAGGGGGGUGGAUGGGACUCUCAUCACUUAAGCCCAUUUCUUUUAAGCCCAUUUUGCAAGGAACCCAACACAACACACACACACACACACACACACACACACCACAGAGAAGCGGCGUUGUUGUUCACGUUGUUGUUCAUUUACAGAACAGACUUUGCACCCAUCGAAAUCGCAUGUUUCCAAGAUUCUCACUUCACGCCGUCACACCGCGCUUGCAUGCUUGCUUGCAGACCAUUCAGCCCUAGUGAAGGACGCACUCGGUGGAGUGAGGGAGGGAGGAAGAGUUCAGGCAACGGGGCAGAAGCCAGGCGGAGACGACGGCGAAGGAGGAGGAAAACAAGGCAGGGAAGAAAGGGAGUGGGGCUUUAGUGAGGAAGUAAGUAAGUCAGUGCUUUAGGAAGAAGAAGGUGCCGAAGGGGGGAGGGAGAAAGGGGCCGCGUGGAAAGAAUCCUCCUCAACAGUCAUAAUAACAUGUGGCAAGCGCCGUGAAAAGCCGGAAGCAUAG